rnacentral:tRNA from 1 species
GGGGAUGGGCCAUGGCUCAGUGAAAAACCAUCUGCUUGGCAUGCAUAAGGUCCCAGGUUCAAUCCGUGGCGCCUCCU